UAAUACGUAGGCAGCGAGCGUUGUUCGGAAUUACUGGGCGUAAAGAGUCUGUAGGCGGUGCUCUAAGUUCGGUGUGAAAUCUCCUGGCUCAACUGGGAGGGUGCGCCGGAAACUGGAGUGCUUGAACGUGGGAGAGGAAAGCGGAAUUCCUGGUGUAGCGGUGAAAUGCGUAGAUAUCAGGAGGAACACCUGUGGUGUAGACGGCUUUCUGGACCAUUGUUGACGCUGAGAGACGAAAGCGUGGGUAGCAAACAGGAUUAGAUACCCUGGUAGUCCACGCCCUAAACGAUGCAUACUUGGUGUCGGCCAUUCAGUUGGUCGGUGCCGGAGCUAACGCGUUAAGUAUGCCGCCUGGGGAGUACGGUCGCAAGGCU
rnacentral:rRNA from 1 species